rnacentral:rRNA from 1 species
CAGCGACUGGGGUGAAGUCGUAACAAGGUAGCCGUAGGGGAACCUGCGGCUGGAUCACCU